rnacentral:pre_miRNA from 1 species
AUGAGAUGAAAUUAGUUUGAACAUGUGAUUUCAAGCUGAUUUCAUCUCAUGA